GGCGGGGUGGCAGAGUGUUGAUGCAACGGUGUGCAAAGCCGUUUAGGCCGGUUAAAAUCCGCGCCCCCGCCUCCA
rnacentral:tRNA from 2 species